rnacentral:tRNA from 1 species
AGGCCUUAUAGUCUAUGUAGGACAUUAAAUUGCAAGUUUAAAGGUGAAAAUUUCUCUAAGGCUUA